AGCUGGUUCUCCUCGAAAGCUAUUGAGGUAGCGCCUCGCGUCUAACUCAGGGGGGUAGAGCACUGUUACGGCUAGGGGGGACAUAAGUCCUUACCAAACCGUUGCAAACUCCGAAUACCCUGAAGUUCAAUCGCGGGAGACACACGGUGGGAGCUAAAUUUCAUCGUGAAGAGGGAAACAACCCAGACCGCCAGCUAAGGUCCCUAAAUCAUCGCUAAGUGGUAAACGAUGUGG
rnacentral:rRNA from 1 species